GACGAACGCUGGCGGCGUGCCUAAUACAUGCAAGUUGAGCGAUGAAGAUUGGUGCUUGCCCCAAUUUGAAGAGCAGCGAACGGGUGAGUAACGCGUGGGGAAUCUGCCUCUGAGCGGGGGACAACAUUUGGAAACGAAUGCUAAUACCGCAUAACAACUUUAAACAUAAGUUUUAAGUUUGAAAGAUGCAAUUGCAUCACUCAAAGAUGAUCCCGCGUUGUAUUAGCUAGUUGGUGAGGUAAAGGCUCACCAAGGCGAUGAUACAUAGCCGACCUGAGAGGGUGAUCGGCCACAUUGGGACUGAGACACGGCCCAAACUCCUACGGGAGGCAGCAGUAGGGAAUCUUCGGCAAUGGACGAAAGUCUGACCGAGCAACGCCGCGUGAGGGAAGAAGGUUUUCGGAUCGUAAAACUCUGUUGGUAGAGAAGAACGUUGGUGAGAGUGGAAAGCUCAUCAAGUGACGGUAACUACCCAGAAAGGGACGGCUAACUACGUG
rnacentral:rRNA from 1 species